UUAAGUGUAUUGAAACCAAACCUGUUCCAUGCCUCUCUAUAAAUAAGUCUCCAGAUCCUAACCUGUGGCCUACAGCCAAGUAACAGGAGGAAAGCAUGGCAAACUCCCUCAGACUACUCUUCUUUGCAUCGUUCACAGAGGCCUGGGAGCAACGUGCGGUGUGUCCGACAUAGCCAUUCGACAGAGGAAGACCGGAGCGACCGUGGAAGGGAAACCGGAGUACCAGGUUUUGGUGAGCAACGAGUGCAGGUGCCCGCAGUCCAAGGUGGUGCUGCGGUGCUACGGCCUCAGCAGCGUCGAAGCCGUCAACCGCCGCGCCAUCAGAGCGGUGGACGAGGAGAGGUGCAUCGUCGCCGACGGGCGGCCGGUAACCAAGGGUACUCCUGUAAAGUACAAGUACGCAUGGAUGACGCCCCAAGACUUCCCUGUGGUCAGCACUCUCAUCCACUGCCACUAAGGGCUGGAACGAGGUUUUCUAGCUUCCUUCUCUUUCUGAUCAUGGGAAGAAGAAUGAUCUCCUUUUCCUAUCGAGUUGGAUGUCCAACGUAGUUAAAUCCAAGAAUAAAACACCGUCUCUCUAUAGCUACAGGAAGCUUAAA